AUUGAACGCUGGCGGCAUGCCUUACACAUGCAAGUCGAACGGCAGCACGGGUGCUUGCACCUGGUGGCGAGUGGCGAACGGGUGAGUAAUACAUCGGAACAUGUCCUGUAGUGGGGGAUAGCCCGGCGAAAGCCGGAUUAAUACCGCAUACGAACUACGGAUGAAAGCGGGGGACCUUCGGGCCUCGCGCUAUAGGGUUGGCCGAUGGCUGAUUAGCUAGUUGGUGGGGUAAAGGCCUACCAAGGCGACGAUCAGUAGCUGGUCUGAGAGGACGACCAGCCACACUGGGGCUGAGACACGGCCCAGACUCCGACGGGAGGCAGCAGUGGGGAAUUUUGGACAAUGGGCGAAAGCCUGAUCCAGGAACGCCGCGUGUGUGAAGAAGGCCUGCGGGUUGUAAAGCACUUUUGUCCGGAAAGAAAUCCUUGGCCCUAAUACGGUCGGGGGAUGACGGUACCGGAAGAAUAAGCACCGGCUAACUACGU
rnacentral:rRNA from 1 species